AGUGAACGCUGGCGGUAGGCCUAACACGUGCAAGUCGAACGGCAGCACAGUAAGAGCUUGCUCUUACGGGUGGCGAGUGGCGGACGGGUGAGGAAUACAUCGGAAUCUACUUUUUCGUGGGGGAUAACGUAGGGAAACUUACGCUAAUACCGCAUACGACCUACGGGUGAAAGCAGGGGAUCUUCGGACCUUGCGCGAUUGAAUGAGACGAUGUCGGAUUAGCUAGUUGGCGGGGUAAAGGCCCACCAAGGCGACGAUCCGUAGCUGGUCUGAGAGGAUGAUCAGCCACACUGGAACUGAGACACGGUCCAGACUCCUACGGGAGGCAGCAGUGGGGAAUAUUGGACAAUGGGCGCAAGCCUGAUCCAGCCAUACCGCGUGGGUGAAGAAGGCCUUCGGGUUGUAAAGCCCUUUUGUUGGGAAAGAAAAGCAGCAGGUUAAUACCCCGCUGUUCUGACGGUACCCAAAGAAUAAGCACCGGCUAACUUCGUG
rnacentral:rRNA from 1 species